rnacentral:lncRNA from 1 species
CCAGUCAGAUGAGUUCUAUGAAGGAUUUUGUAUUGUAUGAGUUGUAAAUUGGCAUUUGUCGUCAUGGAGAAAAUGUUCUUGCAGAUUUGGGGCCAGAAGUCAGCAUCAGGAGCAAUGGAGAGGUCAGAUUCCCAUUUUUCUGAAGGUAUGGAGGGUGUUGAAUCGGCCUGUGAUAAUAAUUUGUAUAUUUUAGAUAGAAGUUUCUUUGAGGAAGGGAUGUUAAUGAAUUUAGAGGGUAACGGGGGGAGGUCUAAGUUUAUAUUCUUGUUUUUCAUUGUUGAUUGGAUGGAUGAUGAAACCUGUAGAUAUUGUAAGAAUUGAUGGCUCCUGAUGUCAAACUUCUGGACCAGGAGAGAGAAUGGGACCAGGGUGUUAUUGUUGAAGAUAUGUUUGAGGUGAGUAAUCCCUUUCUCUACCCAGGUGCUGAAGUAAAGUGAUUGUUUAUUGCUGAUGAAGUCCAGGUUGUGCCAGAUCGGGGUGAAAAGCGAUGGUGCCAAAGUGGAGAUAGUAAUGCUGUAGAAUUUCCACCAGGCUGUCAGGGCCGAUGAUAUUGUGGGGUUCUGGAAACAGGGGUGUUUUUUGAUAGUUUGACUAAGGAAUGGUAAGUCUGAGGGAUGGAUGUUUUUGCUAACUAUUUGUUCUACGUCUAACCAAGUGCUAUCUGACUGGGUGGGGUGGGUCCAUUUGUAGAUGUAUUGAAGUUGAUUUGCUAGUGAGUAAUAAUGAAAAUUUGGAGCAUUGAGUCCGCCUAAACUUUUUGAUUUUUGAAGAGUGGCCAGUUUGAUUCGUGGGGGUUUAUUUUUCCAGUAAAAUUUGUUGAUGGAUGAAUCGAGGGAAUGAAACCAGGUGAGAGGUGGAUGAGUGGGAAUCAUUGAACAAAGGUAACUGAUUUUGGGGAGGAUUGUCAUUUUAACUGUUGCUAUUCUGCCUAUAAUAGAUAAUGGGAGGUUCAUCCAUCGUUGGAGAUCGUCAUUGAUUGUUUUUAGGAGUGGAGUGAAAUUCAGGUUGAUCAACUCUGACAGCCUGGGGGAAAUGUGGAUGCCUAAGUAGGUGAUGUGACUUGCGCAGAAGGGGAUGGGUGUUGUAAGGGCUGCCACAGCCAGACUGUUGGUGUUUAAUGGGAGUAUGGAGGAUUUGUUCCAGUUUAUUGAGUAGUCAGAGAGAAGGGAGAAGGAUUUGAUGACUCUGAUUACUUCUUGUAGUGAUGAUUUUGGAUUCUCCAUAAAAAAGUAAAAUGUCAUCUGCAUAGAGGCUGAUUUUAUGGUGCAUGUUGGGGGUUUGGAUUCCUGUAAUGAGGGGGUUCUGACGGAUGGCUGCUGCUAGGGGUUCAAUGAAAAUGGUGAACAAAGAGGGAGAGAGUGGGCAACCUUGUCUGGUCCCCCUGUGAAGAGUGAAGCUUUGUGAGGUUUGUCCGUUAGUAAUAACUGUGGCUGUAGGUGAGGUGUAAAGUGUUCUAAUCCAGUUAAUAAAUGAUUCCCCAAAGCCAAAACUGUGUAGGGUGUGGAUGAGGAAUGACCAGUUAACUCUGUCAAAGGCUUUUUCUGCAUCCAAGGUGGCUAUGAUUGAAUUAUGGUUAUGUGUGGUUGAGUGGUGCAUUAUAUUGAAUAGUCUGCGUGUGUUAUUGGAUGAGUUUCUUCCUUUAAUAAAUCCUGUUUGAUCCGGGUGAAUAAUGGAUGGAAUAAUUUUUUCUAAUCGGUGGGAAAGUGCCUUGGUGAUAGUUUUAAUGUCAACGUUGAGAAGUGAAAUGGGGCGGUAACUUGAAGGCAGGGUGGGGUCUUUGUUUGGUUUUACAAGCUCUUUUAAUUUCUCUCUCUCUUCCUCCCUCUCACACACACAUGCACGCAUGCACACAAUGACUAUGUGGACUGAAUGGCUUGCCAAAAAACAACACACUAUCUGUAUUUUCUUGAAAUGUCAUGAAUUAACCUACCAAAUGCACCAUGACGGUGCUUUUUGGCAAGCCAUUCAUUCCACUCAAUGACUGCAAGGUGGUCUUGAAGCAAAGUUUCUGUUCGGUUUCCCCUGAGCCUCCAAAUCUUCUCUUUGUAAAUUCUCCAGGCCCUUUCGAUAUGCUGGGUAUGGGCUCCAGUAAGGGGAUGAACGUAGGACCUGCUAUGGUUUACCGUGUGGUGCACAUACCCUAAUGCAGGCAGCACACGGUAAGCGUGCCACUCAUCACUGAUGAUGUUGGACCCACCCCGUACAUGUUGGGUGAUUAGAGGCACCAGAUGUGCUCAGUUUCUCCGCUCUACCAGGCGUAGGCCUUCGAGAGUUUUUCUUUACAGCAAGCAUCCCAAAGACCCAUUUUUUCCGGUCCCAGGCACCAGCCAUUCUUCCUCUCCCGUACUGAUGCAGAAACAAAACUAAUUAGGUACAGUAUGAACAAAUACAAAACAUCGGUUGACUUUAUUUCAUAAUCAUGGUAAGUAAAUUUUAGUAAUACACACCUUUCGUUUGUGCCGAAAAUGGCUCUCAUCGAUGGUGACAAACUCUCAUCUGCCGCCCAUCCUCUGACCAGUACGUCUUCUCAUUUUUUUUAAUGCCGUUACACACACUCUCCUUAAUUGUUUGGCCAUUUUGCUCAGGGUUGCUGAGCUGCCCGCAAUGGUGUCAUCUAGCAUGUCGAUCUGCCGCAGCCGUAGCCCCUGAGCAAAUCUAUAAAGACAAAAAAUAAAUAAUGUUUAUUGUUAACAUGUAUUCACAUAACAUUUAUAAAUGAAUAAGAUAAUCUCCUAACAGAUCCCUGUGCACCACACACAAGGAUCUGUGUGUAUCCUUGUGCGCCACUGUUUGUACCAUGGCCUAUGAUCUAAUCAGCAGAUGCAAGAGGAUAUAUUAUACAGAGCACUGCUUCUCAAACAUUUCGUGUCGAGACCCCCCAAAGUCAUCAUAUUUGAACUGAGGACCCUCCCACCCCAUCUGGAUACAUAUCGUGAAGUGCAACAAUGCCCCAAAAUGGAGUGUGUUAUCUAACCUCAAUGUGUGACCA